rnacentral:ncRNA from 2 species
UACGUAGGGGGCAAGCGUUGUCCGGAUUUAUUGGGCGUAAAGAGCGUGUAGGCGGCUUGGCAAGUCCGCUGUGAAAACUCGAGGCUCAACCUCGAGCUGUCGGUGGAAACUGCCUGGCUAGAGUCCGGAAGAGGAGUGUGGAAUUCCUGGUGUAGCGGUGAAAUGCGCAGAUAUCAGGAAGAACACCUAUGGCGAAGGCAGCACUCUGGGACGGUACUGACGCUGAGACGCGAAAGCGUGGGGAGCGAACAGG